rnacentral:misc_RNA from 1 species
AUUUGUUAAAUAUUCAAACUAAAAAGGAAAAGAAAAAGUUGCCGUUGAAAAAUGGUAUACAGCCGAGAUACUUUUUUAUUUUCAAAUUUAAAUUAUUAUUUAAAUUUAAUAUCAAAGUUAAUUAAACAAGUAUAUCAAGUUUUUUUUUCUCCAUAUCUGCCUCUUAAAGAAACUCCAAGCCAUUGCCAUCUACACUUUCCUUCUUUUCCGCCAAAUGCCUAUAAAACUCAAGGAAAUGUGCAAAGCAAUACAUAGAGAAGAAAAUUAUAACAGAGACAGCUAGAGGAGAGAAUGGAAAGAAAGUAAAAAAAGAGAAAUAAGGUUGGGUGAGAGUAAUUUUUUAUUUUUGUUAUGCCAUAUGGUAAUGUGUAAACUGGUUAAUUAAAGUUUAAGAAGAGUGCUAUUACAACAUCUUAAGUUUGGAGACGAUAUGAAAUUUAUCCUACAAAACAAAUAUUGAUUUUAUAAAGAGUUUCCAAAUUACUUUGGACAAAAUAAUCUAGCACAAAUAACUGGAAAUGGUGAACACUUGUUCCACCCGAUGCACCUUGAUAGUUUGAAGGACAAGAAAGAAAUAUUAACCUAAAUUAAAAAAUAAAAACCGGUAAGUUAAAGUUUUAAGAAAUCUAUGGCUAGUUGGAAUACAAGAAUGAAGGAGAUAUGGUUGUAAGAUGAUAAAAAGGAUAAAAACCUCAAAUUGACUCGGUCAACCUAAAUUUUGGCUAUAAUAACCUAAAUUGCAUAACUUAUGCUUCUAUGUAUUAACCAAUCAAGUCAAUUUAGCAGCAAGCAGGUUAAGUAAGCACUACUCAUCCUAAUCAGUUUAAAGGUUCAAGGCAUAACCAAUGUGCAAUUUGAAGGGUAUGUUAUUAAGUAUGGCAAAUGAAAUGAAAUGAAACAUCACCACAUUGGAAACAGACUUGGAAUGCAAUUCCUUCUAAACAUACAAUCAUUUGGGGAAGGAAAAACCCAUCAAGCCUAUUUUCUCAUCUAUCCAAAGAUUUAUGGAGGUUUGCCAGUUCCUCCCAUGUUGCCAUUGAAAUUUGACAAAACAUGAAUACCUUAUUGGUUACUCCCAGUAUUCUAAUGUUGAAAACUGAGAAACCACCAACUACCCACUAGCUAAUGAAAGCUCCAAAUCUUUCUCAUGCAUAAAUUUUUAAAUAUCAGCAAUGAUCUAGGCAGGCAAUGAAACAAAAUAGAGGAAAUUUAAAUUAAAAUAAUGCAAACUGCAGCUGCAAAUAAAAAAAAAUCCAAUGUUAUAUACAUAAACAUAACAUAAGAAUAAUAGAAAUAAUAUUCAAGUUGUUAGUGCAUCUUAAAUGUCAACUUAAGACAUAAUAUCAUGUGACAAUAUUUUUUAAAUACCGAAAUAACAUAAUGAAAAUUUGCCUUGCAACAUAAAACAAAACAAAGUUUCUCUCAAUUGUAACACAGAAAAGAACAUAAAACGUGAAAGUCAUUUACGUUCAAGCCAACUUUCAACUAAGUUAUCGAUAUAAAGAAACCUUUUCAAUGCAAUCAAGUUAUUGUUGUGUUAGAACCUUAAGUAACAAUAACUUUAGCAGCUCCAAUCACGUCAUCCUCUACCAAGCAACAAAGAGACAGAAUUUGCUAAAUCUUUAUUCUUCCCAUUUAGUGUAAUUACAACCUCAAUGCAAUAAAUUGUAAAUAAUAAAACAGUCGACUUAGGUAACCGCAAAGCCAUUUGAGAAGACGAGAUGCAUAAAGCUAAUAAUCAAAAGACAGAAGAAAUCUAGAAAAAACAAUCAAAUCAUAAAAUUGUAAUUUACAAAUCCACUAUGUAGCUAUUAAACACAAAUUAAAGAAAAAUGAUUUCAUCACCUUUUGCUCCAAUACUUUAGUUUCAAAAAAUAAAUUGUAAAAUAAGCAGAAUUUAGAUUAUCAGUAGUAGUACGAAGACCAUAGUGUGUGAAGUAAUGCUCCAUCCACUUCUUAAAAAAAAAAAUUAUAUCUAAAUUUGUCUAAAAUGAAAUGAUACCCAAAUACAAUGCCAAAUGCAAAGAGCUAACGUGAGGAGAAUACCCAAAUACAAUGUCAAAUGUAAAAAGCUGAUGUGAGGAGUGUAAGAGUAAGGUUGGACAACAUUCUCUGUUAUGCUGCGCAAACCAUUACUAUGGAGGAUGUAUUUGGUACUUACAAUUAAUUGAUAAUCAUCCCCAUCCUAAAUACUUAUAUGAUGAUUUUGACAAAUUAACAAUAAAACUAACGUGUCAUUUCACUAAUUAGAUGAACUCAUGUAUAUGGUAAUUGUUUUAGUAAUUUCUGUUAUAAAUAUUUUCUUAAUAUUUUAUUUUUUGUUAGUAUUUUUCUUAUAAUUAUUACUAGUUAUUUUUUAUGAUAUUUUUAUAUUAAUUUUUUAGUGCU